ACGGGCAUAGUUUAAAGGUAGAACUAAGGUCUCCAAAACCUUCAGUGUGAGUUCGAUUCUCGUCACCCGCU
rnacentral:tRNA from 1 species